GUCGGCGGAUGGCCGGUACGUUUACUNNGAAAAAAUUAGAGUGCUCAAAGCAGGCGAUGGUGCCGGAAUAAUAGUGCANGGAAUAAUGGAAUAGGAUCUCGGUUCUAUUUUGUUGGUUCUCGGAACUCGAGAUAAUGAUUAAUAGGAACAGACGGGGGCAUUCGUAUUGCGACGUUAGAGGUGAAAUUCUUGGAUCGUCGCAAGACGGACUACUGCGAAAGCAUUUGCCAAGAAUGUUUUCAUUAAUCAAGAACGAAAGUUAGAGGUUCGAAGGCGAUCAGAUACCGCCCUAGUUCUAAC
rnacentral:rRNA from 1 species